UGGGGAAUAUUGCGCAAUGGCCGAAAGGCUGACGCAGCGACGCCGCGUGGGGGAUGAAGCAUUUCGGUGUGUAAACCCCUGUUGCCCGGGACGAACAACUGGUUUCGACCAGUCUGACGGUACCGGGUGAGGAAGCACCGGCUAACUCCGUGCCAGCAGCCGCGGUAAUACGGAGGGUGCGAGCGUUGUCCGGAAUCACUGGGCGUAAAGGGCGCGUAGGCGGUCUGCUAAGCGUGCGGUGAAAGCCUGGGGCUCAACCCCAGGUCUGCCGUGCGAACUGGUGGACUCGAGCACUGUAGAGGCAGGUGGAAUUCCGGGUGUAGCGGUGGAAUGCGUAGAGAUCCGGAAGAACACCGGUGGCGAAGGCGGCCUGCUGGGCAGUUGCUGACGCUGAUGCGCGACAGCGUGGGGAGCAAACAGGAUUAGAUACCCUGGUAGUCCACGCCGUAAACGAUGGGCACUAGGUGCUUGGGGGAGCGACCCCCCGAGUGCCGGCGC
rnacentral:rRNA from 1 species